UACGAAGGGGGCUAGCGUUGCUCGGAAUUACUGGGCGUAAAGGGCGCGUAGGCGGACAGUUUAGUCAGAGGUGAAAGCCCAGGGCUCAACCUUGGAAUUGCCUUUGAUACUGGCUGUCUUGAGUUCGGGAGAGGUGAGUGGAAUGCCGAGUGUAGAGGUGAAAUUCGUAGAUAUUCGGCGGAACACCAGUGGCGAAGGCGACUCACUGGCCCGAUACUGACGCUGAGGCGCGAAAGCGUGGGUAGCAAACAGG
rnacentral:rRNA from 1 species